AACGAACGCUGGCGGCAUGCCUAACACAUGCAAGUCGAACGAACUCUUCGGAGUUAGUGGCGCACGGGUGCGUAACGCGUGGGAAUCUGCCCUUGGGUACGGAAUAACUCAGAGAAAUUUGUGCUAAUACCGUAUAAUGACUUCGGUCCAAAGAUUUAUCGCCCAAGGAUGAGCCCGCGUAAGAUUAGCUAGUUGGUGGGGUAAAAGCCUACCAAGGCGACGAUCUUUAGCUGGUCUGAGAGGAUGAUCAGCCACACUGGGACUGAGACACGGCCCAGACUCCUACGGGAGGCAGCAGUGGGGAAUAUUGGACAAUGGGCGAAAGCCUGAUCCAGCAAUGCCGCGUGAGUGAUGAAGGCCUUAGGGUUGUAAAGCUCUUUUACCCGGGAUGAUAAUGACAGUACCGGGAGAAUAAGCUCCGGCUAACUCCGUGCCAGCAGCCGCGGUAAU
rnacentral:rRNA from 1 species